rnacentral:lncRNA from 1 species
GGGCGGCUGCUGCUGGCCGAGGCGGCGGUGGCGCUCCGGGCGGCUCGGGGCGGCGGCGAUCGGCGGAGAGGGACGCCGAGGGGUCGGGGCGACGUCGACAAGGUGCCUUGAGACAAUAUAACCUCGGCCCGAGCUCCAACCCGGAAGAAAAAGGAGAUGGAGAGAGAUGGAGAGGGAGGAAUGUGGUGCUGCGGCGGCGGCGGCCGGCCGGACUUGGUCGGCAGCGACCGGAAGGCGAGCGGCUAGGGCAAGGGAAGCAAGGGGGCGGCUAGGGUUUGCUGGAAGUGGCUAGUCGGGUUAGGGUUCCAAGAAAACCCUAGAAUGAAUCUAUACCAAGGAGAAACUUUGCGAAAAAGUCCACCAAGACUCAACAAUUUGUUCCUAGUCCCUCACAGCACAAGUAAAACGCGCGAAUACCCCUCUACGUGCGAUUUCACGCGAAACGGUACAUAAAAUGUCGCGACUUUUGCGAAAAUACCGUUUUGCCAACACCGACCUCUCCUCGAUCAACGCGCGAUCUCCGCAGAUCCGUCCGUCAGAUUUGCGAACGGAUCGCACCAGUACGAUCAGCACCUCAGAGACAACAAAGCUACGAUUUUGGUUCACCUCGAACGAUCACGGAUUCGCAACGAAAUCCGUUCCUCUCUCCAACAGAAGAAACUACGCACAAAAUACAUAUAAAACACGUAUUUUUGGAUUUUCUCGAAAUCCGUGCGUCAAACUCAAAAUCCGUCAACGCCAGUAGUUCCAGAACAGCUGAACCGGUCGAAACGAGCUAUUGGAUCGCUAUGAACGGAGUCCGAUACGCGCCGAAAGCCAACUCUACUCCGUGGCUUCUCUGGAAAACCGGAGUUACUAUUCACUUAAGUGAAAACUAAUAAUCGCGUAACUUCUCCAUUCUAACUAAUUUUCUCCUGAAACUUGACGAAUGCUUAUGUAAUUAAAUUACACACAUAAACAUCAUCAACAGAGAGUCUAAUUGCACUAUCAAAAUCUCAGUCCUUACAUUAUCCCCCCCUUAAAAGAAGUUUCGUCCCCGAAACUUGACCACAUACCCACCGAAAUCGAAUUCGGAUAUUGCUUCACCACUAUAAUAUCACCCUUGAGUACUGGUCAAUUACAUUUCCGCGAAUUUGGACAGAUCAAUCUCCGAAUAAGGGAAGAAUAGGACUGCAGUUCUACUCGGACAAAACGAGGGGAAGACGUUUCGACCCAAAAUCUACAGACCAAAACUCACCGGGAUCAACACCAUCUUAUAACCUGCGGACAAAAACAGUCCCAUGGUUAGGUUUCGUCAAUUCCAACUUUGCCAAUUCUGAGAUAACACUUCAACACUCAGAAAUUCUAGGUCCACUCAACCUUGGUCCGCACACCAGUAACCGACUCGACUACGUCGAAGGUUCACGUAGAAGAGACUCGAGUCAACACCACUUUAAUCUGGAGUCUA